GGAGCGAGGACGAGUCUGCUCGGUCUUCGAAGAAAUUCGUUCGACGCGUUCAAGAUUGAAGUCAUUUAAGUGGUCCUGAUCACCGGCAGGCUGGACACAACGACUGAGGGACGGAGACAACGAACUUUGUGCUUCAUGCACGAACGUUGAUGCGUGAAUUAGAGGAGCCGAGAGUGCAUUUUACACCUGGAUUACACAAGCAAGUUACGUCAAGCGAUGUCGUAAAUGGGU